GUUCCUGUAGUUGAAUACAACGGUGGUUUUUCAGAUCACAGGUCUCGGAUAAAGGCCGAGUUGGAAUU
rnacentral:tRNA from 1 species